CCUACGGGUGGCAGCAGUGAGGAAUAUUGGUCAAUGGACGAGAGUCUGAACCAGCCAAGUAGCGUGAAGGAUGACUGCCCUAUGGGUUGUAAACUUCUUUUAUAUGGGAAUAAAACGUUCCACGUGUGGGAUUUUGUAUGUACCAUAUGAAUAAGGAUCGGCUAACUCCGUGCCAGCAGCCGCGGUAAUACGGAGGAUCCGAGCGUUAUCCGGAUUUAUUGGGUUUAAAGGGAGCGUAGGUGGCUUGUUAAGUCAGCUGUGAAAGUUUGUGGCUCAACCGUAGAAUUGCAGUUGAAACUGGGAGGCUUGAGUAUAGUAGAGGUGGGCGGAAUGCGUGGUGUAGCGGUGAAAUGCUUAGAUAUCACGAAGAACCCCGAUUGCGAAGGCAGCCCACUGGGCUAUGACUGACGCUGAGGCACGAAAGUGUGGGGAUCAAACAGGAUUAGAUACCCGGGUAGUC
rnacentral:rRNA from 1 species